rnacentral:rRNA from 1 species
CCGUGUAAUUCUAGAGUUAUCCAUCUGAAAAUCCCGACUUCGGAAGGGAAGUAUUAUUAGAUACAAAACCAAUGCCCCUUCGGGCUCUCUUGGUGAUUCAUGAUAACUUCUCGAAUCGCACGGCCCCGCGCCGGCGAUGGUUCAUUCAAAUUUCUUCCCUAUCAACUUUCGAUGCUACGGUAUUGUCCUAGCAUGGUUGCAACGGGUGACGGAGGGUUAGGGCUCGACCCCGGAGAAGGAGCCUGAGAAACGGCUACUACAUCCAAGGAAGGCAGCAGGCGCGCAAAUUACCCAAUCCCGACUCGGGGAGGUAGUGACGAUAAAUACCGAUACAGGGCUCUUUUGGGUCCUGUAAUUGGAAUGAGUACAAUUCAAAUCCCUUAACGAGGAACAAUUGGAGGGCAAGUCUGGUGCCAGCAGCCGCGGUAAUUCCAGCUCCAAUAGCGUAUAUUAAAGUUGUUGUGGUUAAAAAGCUCGUAGUAGAAGCUCGGGCUCCGGCCGACCGGUCCGCCUCACCGCGUGCACUGGUUCGGCCGGGCCUUCACCUUCUGCGGAACCGCAUCCCCUUCACUGGGGGUGUCGGGGAAACAGGACGUUUACUGUGAAAAAAUUAGAGUGCUCCAGGCAGGCCUAUGCUCGAAUAGAUUAGCAUGGAAUAAUGGAAUAGGACGUGUGGUCUUAUUUCGUUGGUUUCUAGGACCGCCGUAAUGAUUAAUAGGGACAGUCGGGGGCAUCAGUAUUCAAUCGUCAGAGGUGAAAUUCUUGGAUCGAUUGAAGACUAACUACUGCGAAAGCAUUUGCCAAGGAUGUUUUCAUUUAUCAGGAACGAAAGUUAGGGGAUCGAAGACGAUCAGAUACCGUCGUAGUCUUAACCAUAAACUAUGCCGACUAGGGAUCGGACGGUGUUAUUUCUUGACCCGUUCGGCACCUUACGAGAAAUCAAAGUGCUUGGGCUCCCAGGGGAGUGAUCCAAGU